CUGCUUGCUCCAAGGUUGAGGUAGUAGGUUGUAUAGUUGAGAGUUACACCCCCAGAGAUAACUGUACAGCCUCCUAGCUUUCCCUGAGCUACGCAC
rnacentral:miRNA from 1 species